rnacentral:rRNA from 1 species
UACGUAGGGGGCUAGCGUUGUCCGGAAUCAUUGGGCGUAAAGAGCGCGUAGGCGGCCAGAUAAGUCCGGUGUGAAAGUCACAGGCUCAACCUGUGAAUGCCGCUGGAAACUGUCUGGCUAGAGUCCGGAAGGGGCGAGUGGAAUUCCUGGUGUAGCGGUGAAAUGCGCAGAUAUCAGGAGGAACACCAAUGGCGAAGGCAGCUCGCUGGAACGGUACUGACGCUGAGGCGCGAAAGCCAGGGGAGCAAACGGG